rnacentral:rRNA from 1 species
AUUGAACGCUGGCGGCAUGCCUUACACAUGCAAGUCGAACGGUAGCGGGCCUUCGGGUGCCGACGAGUGGCGAACGGGUGAGUAAUGUAUCGGAACGUACCUUUCAGUGGGGGAUAACGUAGCGAAAGUUACGCUAAUACCGCAUAUUCUGUGAGCAGGAAAGCAGGGGAUCGCAAGACCUUGCGCUGAUUGAGCGGCCGAUAUCAGAUUAGCUAGUUGGUGAGGUAAAGGCCCACCAAGGCGACGAUCUGUAGCGGGUCUGAGAGGAUGAUCGGCCACACUGGAACUGAGACACGGUCCAGACUCCUACGGGAGGCAGCAGUGGGGAAUUUUGGACAAUGGGGGCAACCCUGAUCCAGCCAUGCCGCGUGAGUGAAGAAGGCCUUCGGGUUGUAAAGCUCUUUCGGCCGGGAAGAAAUCGUAUCAGCUAAUACCUGGUGCGGAUGACGGUACCGGCAUAAGAAGCACCGGCUAACUACGUGCCAGCAGCCGCAGUAAAAC